AUAAACGCUGGCGGCGCACAUAAGACAUGCAAGUCGAACGGAAGUCGUUGUAAUGAAUUUGAAGUGGACAGAGAACUUGUUCAAAGAAAGCAGAUGAUGAUUUACAACAAUGGCUUUAGUGGCGGACUGGUGAGUAACGCGUAAGCAAUCUGCCUAUUAGAGGGGAAUAACAAUGAGAAAUCAUUGCUAAUACCGCAUAUGCCAUAAGAAUCACAUGAUUCCAGUGGGAAAGGAGCAAUCCGCUAAUAGAUGAGCUUGCGUCUGAUUAGUUAGUUGGUGGGGUAACGGCCUACCAAGACGACGAUCAGUAGCCGGACUGAGAGGUUGAACGGCCACAUUGGGACUGAGAUACGGCCCAGACUCCUACGGGAGGCAGCAGUCGGGAAUAUUGCGCAAUGGAGGAAACUCUGACGCAGUGACGCCGCGUAUAGGAAGAAGGUUUUCGGAUUGUAAACUAUUGUCGUUAGGGAAGAUACAAGACAGUACCUAAGGAGGAAGCUCCGGCUAACUACGUGCCAGCAGCCGCGGUAAUACGUAGGGAGCGAGCGUUAUCCGGAUUUAUUGGGUGUAAAGGGUGCGUAGACGGACUUACAAGUUAGUUGUGAAAUCCCUCGGCUUAACUGAGGAACUGCAACUAAAACUGUAAGCCUUGAGUGCAGGAGAGGUAAGUGGAAUUCCUAGUGUAGCGGUGAAAUGCGUAGAUAUUAGGAGGAACACCAGUGGCGAAGGCGACUUACUGGACUGUAACUGACGUUGAGGCACGAAAGUGUGGGGAGCAAACAGGAUUAGAUACCCUGGUAGUCCACGCCGUAAACGAUGAUUACUAGGUGUGGGGGGACUGACCCCUUCCGUGCCGCAGCAAACGCAAUAAGUAAUCCACCUGGGGAGUACGACCGCAAGGUUGAAACUCAAAGGAAUUGACGGGGGCCCGCACAAGCAGUGGAGUAUGUGGUUUAAUUCGAAGCAACGCGAAGAACCUUACCAGGGCUUGACAUCCUACUAACGAAGUAGAGAUACAUCAGGUGCCCUUCGGGGAAAGUAGAGACAGGUGGUGCAUGGUUGUCGUCAGCUCGUGUCGUGAGAUGUUGGGUUAAGUCCCGCAACGAGCGCAACCCCUGUUUCUAGUUGCCAGCACGUCAAGGUGGGAACUCUAGAAAGACUGCCGUAGAUAAUACGGAGGAAGGUGGGGAUGACGUCAAAUCAUCAUGCCCUUUAUGUCCUGGGCUACACACGUACUACAAUGGCUGUAACAGAGGGAAGCAAGCUAGUGAUAGCAAGCAAAACCCAAAAAGCAGUCUCAGUUCGGAUUGAAGGCUGAAAUUCGCCUUCAUGAAGCCGGAAUUGCUAGUAAUGGCAGGUCAGCAUACUGCCGUGAAUACGUUCCCGGGCCUUGUACACACCGCCCGUCACACCAUGAGAGUUGGGGAUACCCGAAGCCUGUGAGCCAACAGUUUACUGAGGCAGCAGUCGAAGGUAGAAUCAAUGAUUGGGGUG
rnacentral:rRNA from 1 species